UCGACUUUCUUUGAAGCCGGGACGAAAUUGUGAAACCUUUGUAAAAUGAUUUAAUAGACAGAAAAUGUAAAAGUAACUGAAAGGAUGCGAUGCCUCAAGCUGUCGAUUUUACUUGAUUGGCCAUUGUAAAAUAUUUUCCGGUGAAUUUAAACUGAUGUGACCCUAAUUGGAGAUUGGCUAGACACGAUCUGAUGAGGACGGAUCGAAGCGAUGGGCUCACAUACUGCCCUGCUUAAUGAUAUUUCCUUUAAUCUAAUUAAAACUAUGCUUUCUCCACUUGUCUCAGUUAAUUAAAUAGCUUCGAGCCUUGUUUAUUGAGGAAAAUAUGGAGCUCUUCAAAGUAGCCAUCAACUGUUGACUUUUCAAAGGUACCAAAGAGCCAACAUAUUGAAAGGAAGCAACCAUUAUCCAAGAGAAGUCAUAUUUUGAUGUUGUUGUGUUAAAUAGCUUCAGCAUCCUGAUCAUAAAGGGAAAAGUGGAGGUUCUAAAAGCAGCCAUCAAUUGUUGUCUUUGCUUCCUCAUUGUUGGCAAGUCUGGA